rnacentral:rRNA from 1 species
AGAGUUUGAUCCUGGCUCAGAACGAACGCUGGCGGCGCGUCUUAAGCAUGCAAGUCGAACGGUAAGAAGGAGCUUGCUUCUUCCUAGAGUGGCGGACUGGUGAGUAACGCGUGGAUGACGUACCCUUAUGACGGGGAUAGCCGAUAGAAAUAUCGGAUAAUACCGGAUAAUCUCUUUUGGGGUAAAGACAAAAGAGGAAAGCGGCUUCGGCCGCGCAGAAGGAACGGUCCGCGUCCUAUCAGCUAGUUGGCGAGGUAAAGGCUCACCAAGGCGACGACGGGUAUCCGGCCUGAGAGGGUGAACGGACACAUUGGGACUGAGAUACGGCCCAGACUCCUACGGGAGGCAGCAGCUAAGAAUAUUCCGCAAUGGACGAAAGUCUGACGGAGCGACGCCGCGUGGAUGAUGAAGGCCGGAAGGUUGUAAAGUCCUUUUAUCCGUGAAGAAGAAGAUUAAGAGGGAAUGCUUAAUUGGUGACGGUAGCGGAUGAAUAAGCACCGGCUAAUUACGUGCCAGCAGCCGCGGUAACACGUAAGGUGCAAGCGUUGUUCGGAAUUAUUGGGCGUAAAGGGCAUGCAGGCGGUCGUGCAAGCCCGGCGUGAAAGACGGGGGCUCAACUCCCGAAGUGCGCUGGGAACUGCAGGGCUUGAGUUUCUGAAGGGCAGCCGGAAUUCCACGUGUAGGGGUGAAAUCUGUAGAUAUGUGGAAGAACACCAAUGGCGAAGGCAGGUUGCUAGCAGAAGACUGACGCUGAGGUGCGAAGGUGCGGGGAGCAAACAGGAUUAGAUACCCUGGUAGUCCGCACAGUCAACGAUGUGCACUAGAUGUCUGUCCACAAGGAUGGGUGUCAAAGCAAACGCGAUAAGUGCACCGCCUGGGGAGUAUGCCCGCAAGGGUGAAACUCAAAGGAAUUGACGGGGGCCCGCACAAGCGGUGGAGCAUGUGGUUUA